rnacentral:ncRNA from 1 species
CGAGCACCGGUUCACGUCAUGUCCGACGACCCGGCGGCU